rnacentral:lncRNA from 1 species
GCCCGGCGCUGCGCGGGGCCGCCCCGCCCGCGGCAUGGCCGGCGCGCUGGGCAGAGGGGCGGCGUGCUGGCGGAUGCGGAGCGGCAGGAAGGAGAAGGCGCCGGGCGGCAAGCCCCGGCCGCAGCACGAAAAUAUGAAGAAGCCCUGGAGCCCUGACUUACCAGCUUCUAAUCACUCGUACAAUUUGGCUUUCGCAUCCAUCCCAGACAGAGAUAGUGAGAAAGAAUUAACAACUGGUAGCAGUGAAGAAAAGAAGGAGAGAGAAAAGAAGCAGACCAAUUUCACUUUGUGCAAUGUUUGUAACAUUCAGCUGAACUCUGCUGCUCAGGCACAAAUCCACUACAACGGCAAAUCCCAUCAGAAGAGGUUAAAACAGCUCAGCAAUGGAAAUCUCAAAAGUGAUAAUGGAGAGAAAAUAAAGAAGGAAAGAAAUAAAGAAGGAAAUUCUUUGUUUGAAGCCUUAUUGGCUGUUUUCACUGUAGGACGAGAAUACAGAUGAAAUGAAGAAGGAAUGUUGAAGUGUUAUGACUUGAUUUUGAAUGUAUUUAAGUAAUUUAAAGCUGUUUACCAAUACAAAUAAACAGAAAAAGAAACCCA